GACGAACGCUGGCGGCGUGCCUAAUACAUGCAAGUUGAGCGCUGAAGGUUGGUACUUGUACCAACUGGAUGAGCAGCGAACGGGUGAGUAACGCGUGGGGAAUCUGCCUUUGAGCGGGGGACAACAUUUGGAAACGAAUGCUAAUACCGCAUAAAAACUUUAAACACAAGUUUUAAGUUUGAAAGAUGCAAUUGCAUCCCUCAAAGAUGAUCCCGCGUUGUAUUAGCUAGUUGGUGAGGUAAAGGCUCACCAAGGCGAUGAUACAUAGCCGACCUUAGAGGGGGAUCGGCCAAAAUGGGAAUGGGACACCGCCCAAACUCCUAAGGGAGGCAGCAGUAGGGGAUCUUCGGCAAUGGACGAAAGGCUGACCGAGCAACGCCGCGUGAGUGAAGAAGGGUUUCGGAUUUUAAAACUCUGUUGGUAGAGAAGAACGUUGGGGAGAGUGGAAAGCGCAUCAAGUGACGGUAACUACCCAGAAAGGGACGGCUAACUACGUG
rnacentral:rRNA from 1 species